rnacentral:misc_RNA from 1 species
GAACUGCGAAAAGUAAUGUGACCUGCAAACUUUGUGAAUCAUCGAAUAUUUGAACGCAACUUGCACCAAGCAAGCAAUUGUUUGGUAUACUUGUUUGAGUAAUACAUAAAUAUCGCUUUAGCGGAAUUGCAGGAAUAUAAAUUCUUGUUAAGAUGAGUGACUGUAUGUCAGCUGGGAUAAUAUCCUAACAGUCGGCAGUAAGUCAUACAGAAUGAAAGAUGAUGGUCUAACGACCACUAUCCUUCGUCUCGCAAUAAACGAUCAUAGCCUAACGGCUAUAACCGUUUAUUACCUUUAUUCUCAAAUCAAGUAAGAUGACCCGCUGAAUUUAA